rnacentral:rRNA from 1 species
GACGAACGCUGGCGGCGUGCUUAACACAUGCAAGUCGAACGGAAAGGCCCUGCUUUUGUGGGGUGCUCGAGUGGCGAACGGGUGAGUAACACGUGAGUAACCUGCCCUUGACUUUGGGAUAACUUCAGGAAACUGGGGCUAAUAACGGAUAGGAGCUCCUGCUGCAUGGUGGGGGUUGGAAAGUUUCGGCGGUUGGGGAUGGACUCGCGGCUUAUCAGCUUGUUGGUGGGGUAGUGGCUUACCAAGGCUUUGACGGGUAGCCGGCCUGAGAGGGUGACCGGCCACAAUGGGACUGAGAGACGGCGCAGACUCCUACGGGAGGCAGCAGUGGGGAAUAUUGCGGAAUGGGCGGAAGCCUGAUGCAGCAACGCCGCGUGCGGGAUGACGGCCUUCGAGUUGUAAACCGCUUUCGCCUGUGACGAAGCGUGAGUGACGGUAAUGGGUAAAGAAGCACCGGCUAACUACGUG